UGGUUCCCAGUACAUAUAUGAAUGUGCCUGGGCUAAGAUGGGAACGCAGUGAAAUUCUGCGACAUUACCCGAUGCUGUGAGUCCUUUUUUCAGAGGCAGCCAACGAUGGUCACUGGAAAGCCAACGGUCAUGACAAUACACCGUUGCAAAGUUCCGGGAAGGCCGGCUGCCGUAAGGAUGAAGUCAGAAGACCUGCCACGUGCC
rnacentral:ncRNA from 1 species